rnacentral:rRNA from 1 species
UACGGAGGGGGCUAGCGUUGUUCGGAAUUACUGGGCGUAAAGCGCGCGUAGGCGGCUUUGUAAGUUAGAGGUGAAAGCCCGGAGCUCAACUCCGGAACUGCCUUUAAGACUGCAUCGCUAGAAUCAUGGAGAGGUGAGUGGAAUUCCGAGUGUAGAGGUGAAAUUCGUAGAUAUUCGCAAGAACACCGGUGGCGAAGGCGGCCAAACUGGUCCGGAUCUGACGCUGAGGCGCGAAAGCGUGGGGAGCAAACAGG